CUCGAGUGGCGAACGGGUGAGUAACACGUGGGUGAUCUGCCCUGCACUUCGGGAUAAGCUUGGGAAACUGGGUCUAAUACCGGAUAGGAGCCAUCUUUAGUGUGGUGGUUGGAAAGUUUUUUCGGUGUAGGAUGAGCUCGCGGCCUAUCAGCUUGUUGGUGGGGUAAUGGCCUACCAAGGCGGCGACGGGUAGCCGGCCUGAGAGGGUGUACGGCCACAUUGGGACUGAGAUACGGCCCAGACUCCUACGGGAGGCAGCAGUGGGGAAUAUUGCACAAUGGGCGCAAGCCUGAUGCAGCGACGCCGCGUGGGGGAUGAAGGCCUUCGGGUUGUAAACUCCUUUCGCUAGGGACGAAGCUUUGUGUGACGGUACCUAGAUAAGAAGCACCGGCUAACUACGUGCCAGCAGCCGCGGUAAUACGUAGGGUGCGAGCGUUGUCCGGAAUUACUGGGCGUAAAGAGCUCGUAGGUGGUUUGUCGCGUCGUCUGUGAAAUUCUGGGGCUUAACUCCGGGCGUGCAGGCGAUACGGGCAUAACUUGAGUGCUGUAGGGGUAACUGGAAUUCCUGGUGUAGCGGUGAAAUGCGCAGAUAUCAGGAGGAACACCGAUGGCGAAGGCAGGUUACUGGGCAGUUACUGACGCUGAGGAGCGAAAG
rnacentral:rRNA from 1 species